CGGGGCUCAUUCUCAGUGCGGCUGCUUUUUUACUCGCGCUCUUGAUUGAGCUCUUUC
rnacentral:precursor_RNA from 1 species